rnacentral:rRNA from 1 species
UACGUAGGGUGCGAGCGUUAAUCGGAAUUACUGGGCGUAAAGCGUGCGCAGGCGGUUUUGUAAGCCAGAUGUGAAAGCCCCGGGCUUAACCUGGGAAUGGCAUUUGGGACUGCAGGGCUUGAGUGUGGCAGAGGAGACUGGAAUUCCUGGUGUAGCAGUGAAAUGCGUAGAUAUCAGGAGGAAUACCGAUGGCGAAGGCAGGUCUCUGGGCUAACACUGACGCUCAUGCACGAAAGCGUGGGGAGCAAACAGG